rnacentral:lncRNA from 10 species
UGAAACUCCAUCUCUACUAAAAAUACAAAAAUUGGCCGGGCGUGGUGGCACGUGCCUGUCAUCCCAGCUACUCGGGAGGCUGAGGCAGGAGAAUUGUUUGAACCUGGGAGGCAGAGGUUGCAGUGAGCUGAGAUUGCACCACUGCACUCCAGCCUGGGCAACAGAGGGAGACCCUGUCUCAAAAAAACAAAAAUACAAAAAACAAAACACCCUUCUAGACAUAGGCAGCUCUUGCCUCACAAGCAUCUGGUUUACAAGGGAGCAUCCACUCACCAUCAUCACUAGUGUGUGGGCUGCUGCAGAAACUUCUGGAAGAGGUUUCUCUGUUAGUCUAGUGUGGCAUUUUGGCCUGUGGUCUUACUUCCACAAAACUUAGAAAAUGAUGUGUGAAAACAGCACUGAGAGGUGAGUGAGUUGUCUGAAGGCCACACACCUGGCUAGUGCUGAGUCCGUGGCAGGAACUGAGCUGCAGGGUCUCAGCCAGGCCACCUGCCUUCCCUAGUCCUUGCUGAGCCACCAGGACUAGCAAACAGUUCAGCAACAAAGUUAAAGGGUGCACUAGGCCGGAAAAAUUGACCUGGUUUAAAUUUUGGCAAGAAUGGAGGCAGGGACUCAGCUAAGGUUGCCUUUCCUUUGUUUACCACUACCCUAGCCAACAAGCAGCACUGGGACGUCAAAGGUCCUGGGAGCAUUGUGUGUGGUUCCCUUGCACAUAGUGGAACGAGAUCAAUAUCUGUUGAGAGGAAGGUGAUGAGGCAGGAGCCUCCUGCCCAUGCUCCUCAACCAUUACCUGGGUAGCUGCUAAAUGACCUGAUAAACACACUGAGCUCUGAGACCUUGGGGCUUUGAGAUAAAGACAGGACUGGUUCUAGUGGCCCAGGGGUCCGGGUUUCUUUCUAGAAGCAUAUGUGUCUCCAGUAGCUGUCUGGGGAAGCUGCUGGGUUUUGUAAGGGGCUUUGCAGGGAGAUCACAGGGCAGCGGCUACUUGAAAGGCUUCGAGAACAAAAUCAAUACGGGCCCUGCAAGCCAAGAUUUCACAGCAAAUUUUAGCUAUUUGCUGCUGCUGACCUGGAAAGAGUUGAGAGGGGGCGCCAGUUGCCUUUGCGGGAGGGGAAGGCUGUUGGCAAAACCUGAGGUCAAUGACCUCAAUAGGAAGUAAUAAUAAUAGGAGACCAGUAAAAUUAGCUUCCUAGGGGCUGCUGAUUGGCUACGAAUUACCAGGCACCGCCCAUACGGCUACAGCAUGAACCUCCACAACAAGCCAGUGGAAGCCAAUGGGGAAGGACAUGUGACUUGCCCAAGGUCACCCAGCUGGCAAGGGUGAGAGCUGGGAUUCCAACCCAUUUUGCUGCACUUCGGAGCCCGGUCCCUGUGCACACCACACCACCACCUCCCAAGGAUAACGAGAACAUGACCUAGACUCUAUGUGAAGGCACAUUUUUCAGAGACAGAGUCUCACUGUGUCACCCAGGCUGGAGUGCAGUGGCAUGAUCAUAGCUCACUGCAGCCUUGACCUCCUGGGCUCAAGUGAUUCUCCAACUUCAGCCUCUCAAGUAGCUGGGACCACAGAUGCAUGCCACCACACCUGGCCCAUUUUCUAGAAUGUUAUCUGAAUGGAAUAAUAUAGUACGUAUUCCUUUUAUCUUGCUUCUUUCACUCAGUGUAGUUUUUCUGCAAUUCAUCCAUAUCGUUGAAUGUAUCAAUAGUUCAUUCCUUUUUAAUUUCUGAGAGUAUUUCAUUGAAUGGAAACAUCUCAAUUUGUUUAUCCAUUCACUUGUUGGUGGACAUUUGGGUUGUUUUCAGUUUUUAGCCAUUACUAAUUAAGCUGUUAUGAACAUUAUUGUACAAGUCUUUCUAUGGCCAUAUAUUACCUUGGGUGAAUACAGUAAAUACCUAGGAGUGGAAUGGCUGGGUUAUCAGUGCGUGUAUGUUUAUCAUUUAAGAAACUGCAUAACUGUUUUCAAAGUAGUUGCACCAUUCUGCAUUACUAUCUUCAUUAAUAAAGCAUUUUUUU